UUUGGGGGCACCGAGGUGCGCUUGUUACAUGCUGAUACCUGCCAAGGGUGCCGUACGUAAAUUCAGCCUGUGAUUUUUCUGGGAGGGGCUUACACCUUCGGGGCAGUUGAGCGUGGGCAAACUGGGAGUAAUACCGUAUGUGCCCUUCGGGGGAAAGAUUUAUCGCCAAAGGAUUGGCCCGCGUUGGAUUAGGUAGUUGGUGGGGUAAUGGCCUACCAAGCCGACGAUCCAUAGCUGGUUUGAGAGGAUGAUCAGCCACACUGGGACUGAGACACGGCCCAGACUCCUACGGGAGGCAGCAGUGGGGAAUCUUAGACAAUGGGCGCAAGCCUGAUCUAGCCAUGCCGCGUGAUCGAUGAAGGCCUUAGGGUUGUAAAGAUCUUUCAGUUGGGAAGAUAAU
rnacentral:rRNA from 1 species